GCCAGCAGCUGCCCGUUGAAGCAAGCGGCGGCGUCGGCGAUCUGGGCCAUCAAGUCGGGUGCUGUGACGAGCCAGGCGAUGUCGCACUCGCAGCUCAGCGGGUUUGCUGGCGGGGAACGAGAGGGCGGAAGCUAACAAGGGGCAAGAAGCUUCGGGGGAGACUUUACCUUCGAGGAAGAUCGAGACCUUGUCCUCCAGCAGCGGCCGGAACACUGCUUCGUCCAGAACCGUCAAGGAGUUGCCAUCGAGCCGAAGCCGCCGUGGACGUGUUUUUGCCUCCUCUCCGCCGCCGCCAAACAGCCCAGCAAACCAAGGCAUCUCGUCGUCCCACAGUCAUAGGAAAAUCUGACUACCUUCCCCGGGUCACAGGAGGCCAGCAAGAGGGCUAUCCCGGUGCUUCCUCGAGUAGCUAGCCCAAGCUCUUAUCCCCGGAGUUAAAGGGGACCCUUGGCCCAGGUUUUCGUGCCCCCUUCCCCGGGAAUGGAACCUCCGCCCUUGGGUCCUUGGCAGCGCGGGUCAAAGCUGCUCCCUCGCCCCUGACGAUGGGCACCCCCACGGCAGCCAGGGUCAAGGCUGCCCCUUUCGCCCAGGGAAAAGGGUGAUUCAGCAUCCCGGACAAUCAAAGCAUCGUGAUCAGAAAUAAAAAAACUAUACCGGUGAAUAUAGUGAUGACAGUGAAGAUAACAAAGAAACAAGUCAGAUAAAUGGAAACAAUGAAUACAGUGGAGACAGUAAAGCUGUCUAUCAGGUAGGCGGCGUAACCAUAGUGCUGAACACGAUCCUAUGCCUUAUUACAACAGAAAGCAUGAGCACGGUUGAUGUUAUGUGAUCAAAUCAGGAAACUGUACAGCCCAGAUGAGAUCGACAACGCCUACAAUAUUAUUAUAUAUUAUCAGACUACAAGAACAAGAAACAUAACAAAAGACAUUAAAAGUUCACACCAUGAUCGAUCAGUGCUUAAAAAAGGAUAAUAUAAUGUUUGCUACAACAACACACUCCCGCCACUGAUUGGCUUCUCCAGCUCAAGAAAACAGGUCUCUGCACCUUUUGAGAAAAUCUUUCAAAAACAAAAACACCAGGACACACCAGCACAACAUGAACUCUCCUUCAGCAUGCAAUAUAACCUUGCAAACAAAACAGAUUUGGUGAUUGGAAUGUUCUCCGAAUAACAACCCGCAAUAAACAGUUUAAUUAAUCAAGGUGAGAUGCCUCGCCAGGAAUGCGGAAGGGAAGCAUCCGUCACAACAGUCUCGACCCAUUCCAUCACGCAGCAUCCGAUCUCCUAACCCCUCCCCACGGCCAAUCUGCCCACCGAACUUUCCCUUCGCAUCCCCUCCCCUGUCAGAAUGGUCUCUACCUCCACACCACAAAACGAACGCACACAUAACCACACUCCCCCUGCACCUUCCACGGCAGUACCCACGACCAACGCCUCUCCUAGCUCCCCCCCCCCCCCCCCCCCUCCCCUGACACUCCGUCCCCUCUCUCUGUUCCCACUCCGACCCAGCAAACUCGCAACCUUGCCGACGCGCCAGCCUCCCCUCGUCCGGAGCCACGCAAGCGUUUGCCUAGCAACAACGCUGAUACGCCCGCAACCGGUAUGAGGAACGAAGCUUCUACACAAGAAACACCCAGAAGAAGCUAUGAGAGGAACAGUAAAAGGAAGAACAAGCAAAAACAUCUUCCACCAAACCGCCAAUGGGAAGAUACGACACACCGCCACGUGUUUUGAGUACCUCCCCCUCCCCCCUACUACCCCUCCUACUCCACAAGCGCCACAGCUCGUCGUCAACACCUACGCGGAACGAGCGGAAACACAGCAACAAACAAACGAGCAGCUAGAACCCCCCAAGAUGAGGAAGGUUUCGCUCCCGUCAACUCUAGAAAACAAAGAAGAAAAACAAGGGAGGAACGCCACUCGCCAAAGCCCUUGCAAGGUGCCGACCGUCCUCAGGUAGUGUACCUAUAUAUCACGAGUUGCCACCCAGACACACACGAGGAAGAUGUUGAAGACUUACUCGAAAAUAAGUUCAACAACAUUUCCAAUGUGAAAUCUUUCAAAACUAAAAUGACACGUAAUUAUUACUCAAGCUUCACAGUCGCUAUAAGGGGCAAGAAUAUAAACCCAUUUCUUUUCUUAGAAUCCGACGUCCUUCCCAAUAAUAUAAAAGUGUUCCUCAAUAGAAACAAGUACAAAGGCGAGCAGAAUGCUUGGCGUUACAAAUCCGGCGGUCAAAUCACUAAACGCAAUCAGAAUAGAGCACAUCAAUGCACAGUCACUCCUCGGUCACUUCGAAGAAAUUGAAAAGAUAAUUAAGGAGAGAAAUGUUGAUUUUGUGUAUUAGUGAAACCAGCUUCACCAAGAAAUAUCAAACAGUUUCAUCAGCAUCCCAGACUUUCAUGUUUACAGACGUGAUGCAGGUCGUGGAGGUGGAAUCUGCAGUUAUAUAAGAGAUAUCUUUAAAUGAAAUAAGAUCUCUACAGCUAAAAGUAAUACAGCAGCAAAGGGCUUCGCGGUACUGUACAGUAUGUAUCCUUCCUCGUCGGCACAAUCUAUUGACAUCCUUUCGUCACUGCAGACUCUUUUGACGAUCUUGAAAAUAUUUUCAGAGAAAUGUCAAUAAAGAAAAAACCUCUUUUUAUUUUCGGUGAUUUAAAUGAGGAUUUAGAUCAACUAUAUGCAAAGUUAAUUGGGAUAAUUAAUAAAAAAAAAUAAACAGCAUAUAACCAAGCCUGCAAGGAUUACAAGAAAAUACCUCACCCAUAUUAGAUGUUAUAAUAACAAACAGACCCGAUAUUACACUUCACACAGACGCUGUCCCAUGCUACAUUGCUGAUCACGAGCUUUUAACCAUGACCUUAAAUGUAAAAAAAAAAAAAAUCGACAACCAGUCACUAAAACGCGCGAUCCUCAGUUACCCUGCCAACAUCUUAUAGCCGUCACUCUCAGAGAUCUUAACGACAGAGGACGUUGACAGACACGUUGAUCUAACAGAUAUGAUCAAGUAAGGCAUAGAUGCUUCCGCUCCUGGUGAAACAAAAACAGUUAGACGUCCACCCGCCCCUUGGGUAAAUGACAACACUAAAAGGGCCAUAAAUGAAAUAAAUAAUACUCACAACUUUCUCAAGAUAAACAGAUUUGACACGACCCUUUUGGAUGAAUAUAAACAUAAGAGAAAUAUGACAACAUUCUUCCACUGUGCGAAAACAAAUCAUUUUAAAAAUAAGUUCAAUGAAUGUAGAAACGACUAUGGAAAUUAGCUAAUUCACUUGAAACUAAAAAGAAAUAUGAUAUAUAUAUCCCUUAUUUCCAUGAAUAACACAGAAUCAUACAAGGAAAUUACUCAAACAGGUAACAUAACGGGUGCCCAUACGAGGCAAAAUAACUCCCUAUAUAUCAAAAGAUCGAAUGAUCGAAUACAGAACCGGCCAAGAAAUAUGCAAAUCCGAGGACUGAUGGUCUGGAACCAACUACCAGAAACUAUUAUAAACAUCUCCAACCAAAAAACAUUGAAAACAAAAGUGAAAGAACAUUUCUGAAAUAUCAAUGGUUUAAACAUCAAGCCAAGCACGAUAUUUCAGUCCACUUUUUAUAUUAAUUUUCUGUCUAAUUUUGUUACAUAUGCAAUGUGUAUCUAUGUAUGUAAUAUUAUAUUACAUAAUGUAAACACCAUAAUUGUAAAUAGAAAACCCAUUAAUAGAAUAAAGUUUUUGAAAUUA